GGCAAGAACACACCCGGAAGUACCUAAAGUGACUCAGAUUGGAUUUCAAUAUUUCCCAGAAAUAAUAACAACAGAUUAAUAUGAUGAUGUCAAAAAAAACAUUUUAAUGCAUCGGAUGGUGCGAAGAUCGUGCGAUCUAUGCGAAUAUUACAAGCAGCUAAUGCUGUAAGUAAUAUCACUUGGUGAAUAAUCAGUACUAGUAUGUCUUUGACAGAGCCCGUCUGAUCCGCUGCAGCCGAGCCUCCCUGUCUGCUUCACCAUGCCGCUGCUGUUGGACGCAGUGUGGGCGCUGUGGAGCAUUGGAGCUGGCAUCUAUGACUACUUCCACACCAGUGCCAUGGAGGCGAGGAUCCACACGCUGGAAAACGUCCUCUCUAUCCACCAGUUUGUGAUUGCAGGCCUGUCUGCAGGCCUCAUUCUGCUCGUUACCUACAUAUUAUGGAGAAAACACUGAAACCUCACUGACUAAGUGAGGCCAAGCUCCCACUCCAUGUUGUUUUGUCGCAGGAUAUCAUGCGUUAUCCAGGGUGGUUUCCAUCCCGCUGCUGUCCAGAGUGACAGUUUGGAUUGUGUGGCUGCUGACGCUUGAAGAUCAUCAACAAUCAGGAAGUCCCAAAUGAGGCCCGGAGCACUGAUGGGAAACUAAACCAAGCCACAAAGCUCCAUAAGGAGUCUGAAAACCUGUCUGGUAACCUUCAGCUUGUGGUCUGCCUAUCAGUCUGUUUGUCUCUGUGUUUUGAAUGUUAAACUAAUACAAGAUCAUAACGGCUUCUCAAGGCAACUUUGCACUUUGACUUUGAAAAACCCUCUGAAAUGAUGCCAUUCAUUUAAAAGGAAUACUUCACACCAAAAGAAAUUUCAUUUGGAUUUCAAUAACUCACCUUGUGCUAUUUGUAGAAAUUAGUGUUUUUUUUACUUCAAUUCAUUAAAACUUUUCUCCGUUUUUUUGGUUCUUCGUUCAUCGUGGAGGCAUGUGAGAAAAACAGUUUUCUUAAAGAAUUCAAAGUAACAGGGUGAGUAGUUGAUUUACACAAAAUUAUCAUUUUGGGGGUGAAGUAUUGCUUUAAACAUCUUCCCAGUGUGUCAAUUGCUACUAUAUUCUUUCAACCCAUUAUCACAAGAUCAACAGUUUCUCAUGUGUUUUUUGUUGUAUAGCUUAUUAAUUUCUCUAACAGCAUUAACCUGAAAUACUGAUUUAAUUAUCUCAUUGUCUUGACAUAACUAAUAUCACAAGUUAUCUUUAUCUUUUAUUAAAUUAUCUUUAUCUUGAGAUAAUGGUGGUCGUAAGAUAUGCGUGUCUGUGUAGAUGAACUCGUAAUCAGCAAAACAACAGUGGCACAUCAUCCUGGUUCCUGGUGAAAGACACAAAAGAACACAGUUAAGAAGGUCAAACACUGGAAAUUAAUCUAUUGUUUAUUUUGCCAUACUGAGGACGAGGGAUUUGUCUAUUUAUUUUGUCGAAUGUGUUUAAUUUCUCCACCUUUUUAGUUUUCACCAACACUGUUUCCAGUCUGUGUCUUGUUUCAUGCUUUUGUGUUUAAAAAAUAAAAAUGGUCUAAUGAUUUAAUCCAGUAUCGUUGACUUUCACGACCUGCCUCCUCCGCCAGUGUACUGUAUGUAACUCUGACAAAACCACUACCUUUUAAAGGGAAUGUUUGAAUAAUAAAUCAUAAUUCAAGUCCAA